rnacentral:rRNA from 1 species
UACAGAGGGUGCAAACGUUGUUCGGAAUUACUGGGCGUAAAGCGCGUGUAGGCGGCAGCGUGUGUCGGGCGUGAAAUCCCACGGCUCAACCGUGGAAGUGCACUCGAAACUGCGCAGCUAGAGUCCUGGAGAGGAAGGUGGAAUGCUUGGUGUAGAGGUGAAAUUCGUAGAUAUCAAGCGGAACACCGGUGGCGAAGGCGGCCUUCUGGACAGUGACUGACGCUGAGACGCGAAAGCGUGGGGAGCAAACAGG